UUGUCUCUAACUCCACAAAUUUCAACAUGCAUACAAAUCAAGAAGGGGUGGGGGUGUUACAUGCAAAUUCUGCUUCAGUGGGUGUUGGAGCCUGAGAUUCUGGCUUUCUAACAAGCUCCCAGUAGAGAUGGGGUUUCACCAUGUUGCCCAGGCUGGUCUCAAACUCCUGAGCUCAGGCCAUCUGCCCGCCUCGGCCUCCCAAAGUGCUAGGAUUACAGGUGCCUGCUUCCCCUUCACCUUCCACCAUGAUUGUAAGUUUCCUGAGGCCUCCCCAGACAUGUGGAACUAACAGGUUUCUCUUAUUGCCUGGAUCCAAGAGCAUCUCCUGGGUUCUUCCUGUUAGAAUACUGAAUGUCCAUGGAGAGUUUAACAUAAGGAAGAAGAGGCCUGUCUCCCAGCUGAAACUGGUGCAGCAGAUCAUGCAAAGUAAAACCUCAGCAGCUGUGAUGAAGUAGAGCAGAGGGCCUGGGUGUCUGUCAGCUCCAAGCGGAAGAUUUCCCCAGCUUUCUAGGUAACUGUGCUU
rnacentral:lncRNA from 1 species